UUCUUUUUGCAGUGGCAGUAUAAUAGCCAAUGAGGUUUAUCUGAGGUGUGAUUAUUACUUGGGAAAUAUUCACUCUUUUGGUACUGGCCUGUUUUUUGGAAUUGUAGUUUAGUUUUUUGGCCUGCUGCACCAGC